rnacentral:lncRNA from 1 species
GCAAAUUAUAGGUAAACUGUUUAAUUAUAUUUUAUUUUUAUCUAUAUUUAAUGCUCUAUGCAUAUGUCUAAAGAUUCUAUGUGAUGAGAAAUCUAAAAAGUUUUGUAAAAUUGUUUGGCAACUAAACAAACGCCUUGGAAGGUAGCGUGAAGAUGGGGACCUCGAACCCAGCAUUUUAUGGCGCUCGAGACGAAGGCUCUGGAAAGCAUUAGCCGUACCUGCGUUUCAACAUCCGAUUUAGAUCCAACGGUGGAGAAGAUACUGGAGAUUUCUUGCUUACACGUGGCCAAAUGAGCUGCUAGAUCCUAUGGUACAGGAUUCGUCAAGUAAAGAU